GGCAGAAGAGAGUUGGAGCGCAGCCUGGAUUAGAUCAGAUCAGAACACACUCAUCAUGAUGGGACUAGACGCACAAGGAGAGUCAGACAUGGCUAAGCAGGGACCAAAAGGAAAGAAGGUUCAGAGGAAGAACUCGAUUACCGACAUGAUCAAAGGGAAACUUGGAAGCAUUUUGAAAGAUGUUAAAAUCACUAAUCAGAAGAGCUUGUAUAAAGAUGUAGAGCACCCUAGUGAAGACACAGAGGUGAAACCACUCACCGAGGUAACAUGUUCCAAAAUACCUGAGGUGGAUCAGGAGACAGACAAUUUGGGGCUUGAAGAAUUGGGGGACAAGGCCCUCCAGGUUCUGACUGAGCUUCUCCAAGGAGGAUCAACUAAAGAGCCUACAGCCAAUCUGUUGAAAUCGUGGAGAAACGCUAAUGGCCCCAAACAUCACGAAGUGUGGUCAAGCUGCUACCCUGCUGACUGGUUUUGUAAUUACGCCCAGAAAGUGGAGGAGCACGUAAAACAGACGUUCCCUCCCCUGCCAACAGAGGACACUGAAGAGCUGAACUCGUACCUGGAACAGGUACGAAAGGUGGUUUUGGAUGAGCUGCUUCGCCUGGCUCCCGUGCUCAGGGAGCCCGGACUGCUGGACUGCGUUGUUGACAGGUACCACUGCUACACCUUCAGCCAGCUGGACCUGCUGCUACAGAGAAACCUCAGCAGGGAGCAAGCCUACUGCUUACUGUGCUGGGUUUUACUUGUUUACCUCAGUGACGCGUUUCUUGGACACCCAAACCUCCCGAAUACUUUCAUCAAACAAAUUGAUCUUCUCCUCUUCACAAAGUGGGUGCAAAAGGCAGAAUCUCAAGUCCAGGCUCGGGUUAAGGAGGACAUUUCGACACACCUGCAGAAGAUCCUCGAACGGGAAGAGAAUGCAGCACCUUGUAGCUCGACACAAGGGGACGAUUUCAACAGUUUGUCGAAAGAUGUCAUACAGUAUCUGAAUACAGUGACCAAGAAAGCAGAGCGGUUGCACGGCACCUUCAUGUCCAGCAUGCGUGCACUAUGCUGUCAGACGCUGCACAAAUUUUUGGAGAGCUACACCGAAUUGGAAAAGAGACGCCUGCUGAAACACGAAGAGACAGGAAUGGUUCACCUCUUCAGGACAUGCAACAACUGCAGUCAACUCAGACAGUUUGCUUCACAGCUGUCUGCAGGUGAAAGGUCGGACUCUGUACACUGCAUGCUGGAUGACCUGGGGUCUAAAGUGAAACAGCAUCAACUGAAAACUGUUUCGCAGGUUGCAAAGGUCUCUUUGAAGAAGUAUUUUAAGGAGGAAAAUGCACAACUGGAUGAAUUUCUGACCAAGAUGCAAAAUCUCUUUGCUGACGUAUCUGCCGUUUGUGACCAGGACACUCGUAAUGACCUGGUGAAAUCAGCCUAUGAGCAUGUCACUUCCUUGUACCAGCAGCAGAUGCUGCUGAGCAAGCAUCAGCACCUGGAGGACAGGUGGGGAAGUGUUGGCGACAGGGUGCAGCGGGAUGCCGAAUCUCUGCACGCAACCUUCUCAAAGCUGAGCGUGGGGGUCGAGAAGAGCGUUGAUCUGUUGACAGUUAGUCAGAUUUUAAACUGCAGUGACGUGGAAGGCCUUAUGCUCACAUGUACUAUGAACCUCAGUCAACGUAGAAACAGUAAUGAGACGCAGCUAAGGAGCCUGCUACGCUGGAAAGGAGACCUGCCAAAGACAAAAAUUCAGGAGGUCGUGGAAACAGUGAAGGAACUCUCUCCCACCGACGAGGUGCACGGCGACCCCCUUACUGCAGCAACCGGGCCUCCCUGGUACCAGAGAUUCAGCUGCAUCCGUCCGCAGUGUGCAUAUUAAAACCUCCGCCUUGCACUCUGCAUAAUAAUUAGGAAGUUCACCGGGAAGACUGGGAUUUUCCUUUUCAUUCCAUAAAUCUAUAUGCAGACUGUCCACACCUUCUGUUACUGAUGCUGAGACGUUUUAUUAUUAUUCUUCACUCAUUGCACUGUGUCUCAUUGAAUGCUCAUGUUUUGUUUAUAUUAUUUCCGCUUUGUGUGAAGUGAAGUGAUUGUCACAUGUGAUGCACAGCACACAAUGCACACAGUGAAAUUUUUCCUCUGCAUUUAACCCAUCAGCCUGAGUGAGCAGUGGGGAGCAGUGUGUGGGGACGGUGCUUUGCUCAGUGGCACCUUGGCAGAUCGGGAUUCGAACCGGCAACCUUCUGAUUAUGGGGCCGCUUCCUUAACCGCUAGGCCACCACUGCCCUGUGUGCUGUUGUUCAUGUGCUGUGGAUGUUCUUUUGUUCAAUAUGUGCCAUUUUGUACCAUCUUUGUGCCAAAGGUUUUAUUUUCGUUCUACUGUGCAUGUCGGACUCUGUCCGACCUGUGUUUGGACAAAUUUGUAAUAAAAUUAACUCGAAU
rnacentral:lncRNA from 1 species